ACAAACUUGGUCAUUUAGAGGAAGUAAAAGUCGUAACAAGGUUUCCGUAGGUGAACCUGCGGAAGGAUCAUUACCGAGUGUGACCCUCUAAUAUUAGAGGGUGCCUCCCGUCCUUUGCAGGCCCCCAGGGGCUUUUAACUUUGCUUCGGCGGUACCCCCGCCGGAACAACCCCAACAAAAUCUCGUUUCAAACCGUUCAGUCCGAGGGCUUGUGAAUAAUCAAAACUUUCAACAACGGAUCUCUUGGUUCUGGCAUCGAUGAAGAACGCAGC
rnacentral:misc_RNA from 1 species